rnacentral:tRNA from 1 species
GGGCGAUUAGCUCAGUUGGUCAGAGCGCCACGCUUACAACGUGGAGGCCGCAGGUUCGAUCCCUGCAUCGCCCA